rnacentral:rRNA from 1 species
GAUGAACGCUGGCGGCGUGCCUAAUACAUGCAAGUCGAGCGAACAGACGAGGCGCUUGCUCCUCUGACGUUAGCGGCGGACGGGUGAGUAACACGUGGAUAACCUACCUAUAAGACUGGGAUAACUUCGGGAAACCGGAGCUAAUACCGGAUAAUAUAUUCAACCGCAUGGUUCAAUAGUGAAAGACGGUUUUGCUGUCACUUAUAGAUGGAUCCGCGCCGCAUUAGCUAGUUGGUAAGGUAACGGCUUACCAAGGCAACGAUGCGUAGCCGACCUGAGAGGGUGAUCGGCCACACUGGAACUGAGACACGGUCCAGACUCCUACGGGAGGCAGCAGUAGGGAAUCUUCCGCAAUGGGCGAAAGCCUGACGGAGCAACGCCGCGUGAGUGAUGAAGGUCUUCGGAUCGUAAAACUCUGUUAUUAGGGAAGAACAAAUGUGUAAGUAACUAUGCACGUCUUGACGGUACCUAAUCAGAAAGCCACGGCUAACUACGUG